AUUGAACGCUGGCGGCAGGCUUAACACAUGCAAGUCGAGCGGGGUGAUGGUGCUUGCACUAUCACUUAGCGGCGGACGGGUGAGUAAUGCUUAGGAAUCUGCCUAUUAGUGGGGGACAACAUCUCGAAAGGGAUGCUAAUACCGCAUACGUCCUACGGGAGAAAGCAGGGGAUCACUUGUGACCUUGCGCUAAUAGAUGAGCCUAAGUCGGAUUAGCUAGUUGGUGGGGUAAAGGCCUACCAAGGCGACGAUCUGUAGCGGGUCUGAGAGGGUGAUCCGCCACACUGGGGCUGAGACACGGCCCAGACUCCUACUGGAGGCAGCAGUGGGGAAUAUUGGACAAUGGGGGGAACCCUGAUCCAGCCAUGCCGCGUGUGUGAAGAAGGCCUUAUGGUUGUAAAGCACUUUAAGCGAGGAGGAGGCUCUUUUGGUUAAUACCCAAGAUGAGUGGACGUUACUCGCAGAAUAAGCACCGGCUAACUCUGUGCCAGCCGCCGCCGUAA
rnacentral:rRNA from 1 species